UUUUAUGGAGAGUUUGAUCCUGGCUCAGGAUGAACGCUGGCGGCGUGCCUAAUACAUGCAAGUCGAGCGAACGGACGAGAAGCUUGCUUCUCUGAUGUUAGCGGCGGACGGGUGAGUAACACGUGGAUAACCUACCUAUAAGACUGGGAUAACUUCGGGAAACCGGAGCUAAUACCGGAUAAUAUUUUGAACCGCAUGGUUCAAAAGUGAAAGACGGUCUUGCUGUCACUUAUAGAUGGAUCCGCGCUGCAUUAGCUAGUUGGUAAGGUAACGGCUUACCAAGGCAACGAUGCAUAGCCGACCUGAGAGGGUGAUCGGCCACACUGGAACUGAGACACGGUCCAGACUCCUACGGGAGGCAGCAGUAGGGAAUCUUCCGCAAUGGGCGAAAGCCUGACGGAGCAACGCCGCGUGAGUGAUGAAGGUCUUCGGAUCGUAAAACUCUGUUAUUAGGGAAGAACAUAUGUGUAAGUAACUGUGCACAUCUUGACGGUACCUAAUCAGAAAGCCACGGCUAACUACGUGCCAGCAGCCGCGGUAAUACGUAGGUGGCAAGCGUUAUCCGGAAUUAUUGGGCGUAAAGCGCGCGUAGGCGGUUUUUUAAGUCUGAUGUGAAAGCCCACGGCUCAACCGUGGAGGGUCAUUGGAAACUGGAAAACUUGAGUGCAGAAGAGGAAAGUGGAAUUCCAUGUGUAGCGGUGAAAUGCGCAGAGAUAUGGAGGAACACCAGUGGCGAAGGCGACUUUCUGGUCUGUAACUGACGCUGAUGUGCGAAAGCGUGGGGAUCAAACAGGAUUAGAUACCCUGGUAGUCCACGCCGUAAACGAUGAGUGCUAAGUGUUAGGGGGUUUCCGCCCCUUAGUGCUGCAGCUAACGCAUUAAGCACUCCGCCUGGGGAGUACGACCGCAAGGUUGAAACUCAAAGGAAUUGACGGGGACCCGCACAAGCGGUGGAGCAUGUGGUUUAAUUCGAAGCAACGCGAAGAACCUUACCAAAUCUUGACAUCCUUUGACAGCUCUAGAGAUAGAGCCUUCCCCUUCGGGGGACAAAGUGACAGGUGGUGCAUGGUUGUCGUCAGCUCGUGUCGUGAGAUGUUGGGUUAAGUCCCGCAACGAGCGCAACCCUUAAGCUUAGUUGCCAUCAUUAAGUUGGGCACUCUAAGUUGACUGCCGGUGACAAACCGGAGGAAGGUGGGGAUGACGUCAAAUCAUCAUGCCCCUUAUGAUUUGGGCUACACACGUGCUACAAUGGACAAUACAAAGGGCAGCGAAACCGCGAGGUCAAGCAAAUCCCAUAAAGUUGUUCUCAGUUCGGAUUGUAGUCUGCAACUCGACUACAUGAAGCUGGAAUCGCUAGUAAUCGUAGAUCAGCAUGCUACGGUGAAUACGUUCCCGGGUCUUGUACACACCGCCCGUCACACCACGAGAGUUUGUAACACCCGAAGCCGGUGGAGUAACCUUUUAGGAGCUAGCCGUCGAAGGUGGGACAAAUGAUUGGGGUGAAGUCGUAACAAGGUAGCCGUAUCGGAAGGUGCGGCUGGAUCACCUCCUUUCUAA
rnacentral:rRNA from 1 species